rnacentral:rRNA from 1 species
GAUGAACGCUGGCGGCGUGCCUAAUACAUGCAAGUCGAGCGAACAGACGAGGAGCUUGCUCCUCUGACGUUAGCGGCGGACGGGUGAGUAACACGUGGAUAACCUACCUAUAAGACUGGGAUAACUUCGGGAAACCGGAGCUAAUACCGGAUAAUAUAUUGAACCGCAUGGUUCAAUAGUGAAAGACGGUUUUGCUGUCACUUAUAGAUGGAUCCGCGCCGCAUUAGCUAGUUGGUAAGGUAACGGCUUACCAAGGCGACGAUGCGUAGCCGACCUGAGAGGGUGAUCGGCCACACGGGAACUGAGACACGGUCCAGACUCCUACGGGAGGCAGCAGUAGGGAAUCUUCCGCAAUGGGCGAAAUCCUGACGGAGCAACGCCGCGUGAGUGAUGAAGGUCUUCGGAUCGUAAAACUCUGUUAUUAGGGAAGAACAAAUGUGUAAGUAACUAUGCACGUCUUGACGGUACCUAAUCAGAAAGCCACGGCUAACUACGUG